UACGUAGGUGGCAAGGCGUUGUCCGGAAUUUAUUGGGCGUAAAGCGCGCGCAGGCGGUCCUUUAAGUCUGAUGUGAAAGCCCACGGCUCAACCGUGGAGGGUCAUUGGAAACUGGGGGACUUGAGUACAGAAGAGAAGAGUGGAAUUCCACGUGUAGCGGUGAAAUGCGUAGAGAUGUGGAGGAACACCAGUGGCGAAGGCGACUCUUUGGUCUGUAACUACGUG
rnacentral:rRNA from 1 species